ACUCUAGGAACCACAGGAGUGAUCCAAGCCGCAAGAUGAUGUAUGUAUGUGUGCAUCCAGCGAAAGAACAAAACACCACCCAAACAGUCCUCUCCCUUGUGAAAUCAGACGUUUGAGGCUGACCUGGGGAGGUGCUCCAAGCCAAGAAAGAAGGACAAGAAAGAAGGUGAGUGGGCGGGCGGUAGUCAGAGAGGAGCCACACUCCUGCUGCUCGUCUCGCUCGGGGGGGUUUAUUCCUUCUGCAGCAAACCUCCUUUUUCCAGACAUCCCUAGUGCACCUGCACCUGCAUGCUAGCCCAGAGGGCUGAUUGGCAGGCAGGAGCCUUGCAGUUAGCUGCCGGAGAAGGUCCAGAGACACAGGUUAAUAAAUACUAACAGUCACUGCAGUGAAUUCCAGGUGGGCUGGGUUCUCACGGCGUCUACCUGGGUAAACUCGUUCUCACCUCACCAGCAGGUGAGCAUGUCAUACCCAACCUACAGAUGAGGAAGCAGAGGAACGCUUCCUCACCCGGGGUUGCCUUCUAUCACUGCCUCCUUCUCUAGGCUGCUGACCUUCACUUCCCUAGCCCUCAGUUUUCCCAUCUGUAAAAUGGGGACAAUGAAAGAGCCAUCCCUGCCAUGUCGUGGCAUGAGAUGAGAGGAUUCGGGGGUGAAGUGCCCAGCAUAGUGCCUGGGAUGGGUUAAGC
ensembl:lncRNA